rnacentral:rRNA from 1 species
UAGUUAAGAAUGUAUCUAUUGCUAUUAAAACGCAUUAAAUAUAACUUUCAACAACGGAUCUCUUGGCUCUCGCAUCGAUGAAGAACGCAGCGAAAUGCGAUAAGUAAUGUGAAUUGCAGAAUUCAGUGAAUCAUCGAAUCUUUGAACGCACCUUGCGCUCCUUGGUAUUCCGAGGAGCAUGCCUGUUUGAGUGUCAUGAAUCUCUCAACUCUUAACGUUUCUGUAAUGGAUUCAUUGAGAGCUUGGACUUGGAGGCUUGCCGGUAGUCAUUAUCAGCUCCUCUUAAAUACAUUAGCUCUGGAUUACGAUGUAGUUUAUCUACGGUGUGAUACAUGUCUACGCUAUUAGAUAACUACGAACGUUACCAUUCCCUAGAAAUUGGGGAGUAGUGCUUUGUUGAUACAAAGCCGUGUGACUAGUAAAUACAAAGCUUCUAAUCGUCCUUUGGGACAAAACUUCUUUUGACAUCUGACCUCAAAUCAGGUAGGACUACCCGCUGAACUUAAGCAUAUCAAUAAGCGGAGGA